AGGAGAGAAAAUUGAGGUUGCGAUUGUUGUUACCUCGAACAGAUAGUAGAGCAUGAGAUUGAGGGCGGCGUCACCAACGGAACGCUAGGUGAAGGUUGAGGCCGGCCACUACUACGGCUAUUUUGAUGGGCAACUUCCACAGCAAUAUGCAAUGAUCGGUGGAUCGAAAAUGGAUCGAGAAGUGGAGGAUGCGAGCAGGUUCUCUUUCUUUUAUGGAGGAGCAAGAGGAUGAAGAAGCAGGAGCGGGCGGAAAAAAAAGGAGAGAGGGAUUUUUGCCUAAGAUUUUUAUUUUAAAAGUAGAGUUUUUGACGGUGGAGGGAAAGACGAAAAUACGCGAUAUUUCUUAAAAUAUAAGAAAUAAGUCAGAGUAUUUUUUAUGGCCAAAAUAUAAUAUGGGUAUAAAUAUAGAGUUAAAUAUUACUGCUAAAAUUAGCCGUUUUCAAGAUUUUUUUGCAAUUAAUAUGCAUAAAUUUAGAAUUCGUUUGGA
rnacentral:lncRNA from 1 species